UACGUAGGUGGCGAGCGUUGUCCGGAUUUACUGGGCGUAAAGAGCGCGCAGGCGGCUGGUCAAGUCCGAUGUGAAAGCUCCCGGCUUAACUGGGAAAUUGCAUCGGAAACUGAUCGGCUGGAAGGUGGGAGAGGGUAGCGGAAUUCCCGGUGUAGUGGUGAAAUGCGUAGAUAUCGGGAGGAACACCGGUGGCGAAGGCGGGUCUCUGGGCCGUAACUGACGCUGAGGAGCGAAAGCGUGGGGAGCGAACAGG
rnacentral:rRNA from 1 species